ACCUCCCAAGCUCCCACAUCGUCUUGUUUUGCAGGAGACUUUAAAUCAAGUCCCUUCUGCCUGUGCUUGCCCAGCUGGAAUCAAAGCAGAAUGCAGACUCCACAGACUGGAACACAGAACGUGAGGGGAGCUCAGAGAUGUCCUGGGCUCUGUGUCCUGUCCCCAGAACAAAAUAGAAAAAGGUCACUGCAUUCUUCAGAGGGAGAGAAAGGAUAAACAAAUGGCAGGAGGAGUCUAAAGAGAAAUGAAGAGACAAAAGGGGAGAAGACACCACCCCGGGCAAGGGUGUCAGGCAAGGCUGGCACAGGCAGGUCCAGAAGGGCUCAGGGUGGGGAUCCGGGGUCUUGGCCCACAGAAAUGAGAGGAAUGCAAAGACCCUAAGGGCUGCUCUCCUUAAACCCACUCCUGCCCUCUGGAAUGCCAUCCCAGGGAGGACGCUGCUCCUCCCUGGUGACUCAGGCCUCAGGCACCAACCCUGGAUAAGAUGUAUUUACCCGGAAGCUCUUAUCAAGAUGCAAGACUCAGCAGCCAAACAUCCAGACGAUGGCAAAUUAAACAAGUUCACAGCUCCAGGAAGAUGGCCCACCCUGUAUCCUGCGGAGAUUCACAUCCCACGGAGCUUCCCAGAUUCUGAUUGGAAUACACAUGGCAGAGACACAAGUGGAACUUCGAGCUCCAUGACAACGGAAAGCAGACUGAAGGACACAUUACCAGCGAGAAAUCUUCCAAGGGAAGACCCUGAGUCACAGACCUGUUGCCAGCAGAUGUCUGAGUCGAGGCCAGGCAUGGGCUCUGCAGUUGGCAUAGGAGCAUCACUCAUUCCCUGUGCAUCUCUAGGAAGAAAUUCUGCAUCAGAUUUGACCCUGAAGGUGCUAGCUGCUCCACCUUUAGGGUCUGAAUGGCUGACUCACAAAUUUCAUUCUACCGCAGACAGCCCUGUUCUGACUUCUGCGUCAUUCAGCUCAAAAGUCUGUAGACGGAAUCCCCUGUUUCUCAAAAUUCCCAGAAGGAAGCCAGGGAGUACCCCAGAACCUCCCACCUGGGAAACUCCCAACAAACAAAAGACUUGUGUCCAACACCCAGUGUGGCUGCUUGAGAACCACAAGGGAGAAGGCGGCCCUCACACAGUCAAGAGCCUCAAGACAGGGUGCCCCUGAGGUAACUCCAGAUUAUCUCUAUGUUGGGCUCCGUCUGUGCACCUGGCCCAUAGUGGAACCAGUAAAUCCCUAACAUGCCGGGCUACACAGUGGCUGCUGCAUCCGGAGGGCCAGGGACACAGGAACAGCACAUGGCUGGCUGGUGACAGCAGAGGCAGGAGGAGACAAUGGCCAGGGCAGGAGAGGCCCUGGUACUGUGGGACUGUGUUUUGUCAUUUGUCAAUCUUCCUUCCCAGAGCUGGGGGUCAGAUGGGACUCAGAGACAAGGGGUGAUGUCAGUGUUUUGCACCCUUCAUAUCUACCACAUACUCUAUAUCCAGAGCAACUAAAUCAUGCACAAGACAGACAGACAGACAGACAGACAGCAGUAC